GAUGAACGCUAGCGGCAGGCUUAAUACAUGCAAGUCGUGGGGCAGCAGGUUUGUUGCAAUACAGAUGCUGGCGACCGGCAAACGGGUGCGGAACACGUACAGAACCUUCCUUGAGCGGGGGAUAGCCCAGAGAAAUUUGGAUUAAUACCCCAUAGUAUAAUGAAGUGGCAUCACUUUAUUAUUAAAGAUUUAUCACUCGAAGAUGGCUGUGCGGCUGAUUAGGUAGUUGGCGGGGUAAAGGCCCACCAAGCCUGCGAUCAGUAACUGGUGUGAGAGCACGACCAGUCACACGGGCACUGAGACACGGGCCCGACUCCUACGGGAGGCAGCAGUAAGGAAUAUUGGUCAAUGGAGGCAACUCUGAACCAGCCAUGCCGCGUGGAGGAUGAAGGUCCUCUGGAUUGUAAACUUCUUUAUAUGGGACGAAAAAAGGCUUUUCUAAGUCGUCUGACGGUACCAUAUGAAUAAGCACCGGCUAACUCCGUGCCAGCAGUCGCGGUAA
rnacentral:rRNA from 1 species